GUGAGACAGGUGCUGCAUGGCUGUCGUCAGCUCGUGUUGUGAAAUGUUGGGUUAAGUCCCGCAACGAGCGCAACCCUUAUCCUUUGUUGCCAGCGGUCCGGCCGGGAACUCAAAGGAGACUGCCAGUGAUAAACUGGAGGAAGGUGGGGAUGACGUCAAGUCAUCAUGGCCCUUACGACCAGGGCUACACACGUGCUACAAUGGCAUAUACAAAGAGAAGCGACCUCGCGAGAGCAAGCGGACCUCAUAAAGUAUGUCGUAGUCCGGAUUGGAGUCUGCAACUCGACUCCAUGAAGUCGGAAUCGCUAGUAAUCGUGGAUCAGAAUGCCACGGUGAAUACGUUCCCGGGCCUUGUACACACCGCCCGUCACACCAUGGGAGUGGGUUGCAAAAGAAGUAGGUAGCUUAACCUUCGGGAGGGCGCUUACCACUUUGUGAUUCAUGACUGGGGUGAAGUCGUAACAAGGUAACCGUAGGGGAACCUGCGGUUGGAUCACCUCCUUA
rnacentral:rRNA from 1 species